UACGAAGGGGGGCUAGCGUUGCUCGGAAUUACUGGGCGUAAAGGGAGCGUAGGCGGACAUUUAAGUCAGAGGUGAAAUCCCGGAGCUUAACUUCGGAACUGCCUUUGAUACUGGGUGUCUUGAGUGUGAGAGAGGUAUGUGGAACUCCGAGUGUGGAGGUGAAAUUCGUAGAUAUUCGGAAGAACACCAGUGGCGAAGGCGACAUACUGGCUCAUUACUGACGCUGAGGCUCGAAAGCGUGGGGAGCAAACAGG
rnacentral:rRNA from 1 species